GCGUUUUAAGGAAGUUAGUCGAAAGGGAGAGACAGAAACGCACCCAAGGUAAAGUUCGAAAUUAUUGUUUAUCUUCGGGAGGGAAGACAGCUCGUUCAAAAUGUCUGCAUUUGUCAACAAUCCCUUUGUUGACCCGGUGGAGGUCAAUCCUUUCCAGGAUCCUGCAGUGACCCAAGUAACCAGCACAGGCAUAGACCAUGUUGAGGAAUUCAAUCCCUUCUCUGAUACCAACACAGGGGACCUCCAUGAUGUGACCACCAUCCCUGCUACCACCACACCCUCCUCCCAGCCUGCUGGAAACCCCCAGAAAAACUGAGCGUGUAGCCUGGCUGCCAACUCCUGAGGACAACCAUCAGCAACAUACCAUGAGCAAGCAAGAUUGCAAAUGAUGACAUCUUGCAGUCUGUUAUCAGUCAUUAGUUAUGCCAUUUCUUGGUUUCCCAGUUUACCCUGUUAGGAUGAGCCUGGAUUGAAAGUUGUUUACUGAUAGGACCUUGAACAGGAAGGGCAGCUGUCCUUGGAAGGUGUCUUUGACCUUUGACCCCAAGCAUCCUGGACAAUCUGCGAUCCACUGGCCCAGUGUCCGCUGUGACAUCCUAUUGUCUUUGAUGAGAGCAUCUCCUUUGGGGUGAGCACCCAUCCACAGCUGAGAAAGACCAGUGUUUAAUUACUGGAUGAACAGCAAAAUUAGAUCAUAUCCAAAUUUAACAGGCUGUGAAUGGCUACACCAUAUGUUCCUUUAUUAAACAAACUGGCUGACAGACCACAUCCUAAUGCUGAAAAAUACAGCCAACCGUGCUUGGGGAAAUAAAAUGAAGGCAGUUCUAUAUUCUGUCAUUCUAAUGAAAUCUCAAAACCUUCAUAAACAGAGUCAACAGUUAUACAAUGACAGUAGCUCAUAGUAUAAACUGAAUGUCUUUGCAACCAGCCACGGUUGCCCAAUGGUGUAGGCCCAUAACCCAGCCUUUAAUCCUUAAGUUUGUAUUUUUAUUCUUAGGUUAUGGAAGGAUAAUUAAUGCUGUAUCAAUUCCUUAACCUUAUAAGAGAACAGGCAGGGGGCAUUGACUCAUGAAAUAUUAUACUGAGGUCUCAAAGUUUUCUAUAAAAAGAAUAACCCGUGAUGUGUAUCAGAACCAAACACACAUCCUUCCAAAAUUGCAGAGGAGCUCGGGUUCAACAUAAACUCACUUGCACAUAUUUGAACAAUAUAAUUAAAAUUGUUUUUACAUUUUCAAUAUGAACUGUAGCGCAUACAUUUAUGGCAUUUGUCAUGAUCUAUAAAAUGUCAUACUGAGCCUAUCAUAACAAAAAUACAUAUUUUGUGUGAUUAAAUAUAUUUUCCCCAGCCCACCUUUAGCCACCGAAAUAUCUCACCUCUGCGUACGGUUGGUCAUUUUCAAUUACUGCUUGCGGAUCCCCUCCAAGAACAAGUUUGGCUACUUCACUGUUGAGCCCCACUUUUCCCCAAGCAUAUUUUUGAACCACACAUGCCAGUGACAAUACUGCAGAAAAAUAAUAAUAAAUACGAACAAAUGGAGCAUGUACAUUUUUCGAAUAAUCGACUACAGUGUCCUAAACUAGAUGACAGAAAUACAAACUAAAGCCAAAAAUAAACCACAGGAGGCUACAAGAUCUAUUUGAAAUGUGCCGCUUAAAAAUACCAUUGAUAUUCCAUCAAAUAAAUCGACAUCGUAUUUUCCAUGAGUUCGGUAGCAAUGUCAAAGCUAGCUAACUAGUUACAAUAACAAUGGAUGCAGUUUGAGAGUUUCCCUUGUUGGUCAUUCAACCCGGUUUUGCUUGCCAAAUCUGCGAUGAUAAUUUCGGAACUACCGCAGCUGGUCGAACCUGUACCUUGGUAUGCAACGUUGGAGGAGAAAACGUGUUUAAUGGCUACACUACAUUUGAAUGUCAAUUCGCCACAACUCAAGAGCGAACGGCCGCUGAUCUGUCAGAUCAAGCAAUUCGCUCUAAACAGCAGGCUGGAGAUGUGUACCUAGCUAACCAGCUAGCUAGCUUGUUUCAUCGUUAAUAUAGAAUCGCAAUUUCCCUUUGCUUUUCGUUUCAGGCACAUGCUUGCGAUAAUUGUAAUAUACCCUUUGGCGUUGACAUUACAUUAUAACCAGUUUGUUUGCUAAUUUACGAAUUAUUGUAUAUUGUUGUAUAUUGUUAUACAUCACCGGCCUGAUAAUCACGCCUCGGAUAAACGUUCUUUUAUUGAGUUUUACUUACGUUCACUUUUACAUUACAUUUACGUUCAUAUUUACAUUUACUUACGUUUACUUACAUAACACAUAUUUACAUUACAGACGUCAGACAGUAACAAACAGUUACAUUUAAACAUGAUGGCCGACAAUAUCACAAUACAUUUAAACAGUAGACAUUUCAUACAAUACCCACAGGAAGAGUUCGGGCUGGUUCAGGUGGCAUGGAGUGUCUUGUGAGUGACUGUUUGUAGAUGCAUUGUCCAGGCUGUCUGUGUCAUAUGCAUAUCUGUGUGCUGUUGUCAAUUUUCCAUUUUGUGUUCGUGGUGUUUUUUCCGGCUUUGUGGCAGUCCAGGUGGUAGUAGUCCUUGAUGUGAUUAGUGAUUUGGCGGGUGAUGAUGACACUGUGGAGUUCCUGUUCAUGAAAGAGCAUGAUGUUGCGUGUGUCCCAUAACGUGUGUUUGUUUGGUGAUGUUGAUCACCCUCCAGGCAAUCUCCUCCUCCGCAGAUGUGAUCCCGUUGUGGGGGCCGAGGAGGAUAUCCCGGAGGGUCAGUGACUGUGUGUCCGUGUAUGUGUCCAGGAAUGUGAAAACAGAUUGCCAGAUGGAUUUGGCCUUUCUGCAGUGCCACAGGAGGUGAUCUACGGUUUCCUUAACAUUGCAGCGUUGGUAUGGGCAUGUCUCCACCAGGGCCAAGCUCCUCCUGAACAUGAACACCCUUGUGGGGAGAGCUUUCAGCACAGCCAGCCACGCCAGGUCUCUUUGUGUGUUCAGAAGGCAUGGGUGAUUGAUGUUCUUCCAAACUGUAGUGGCUGUGCUAUGGGUCGUGUUGUCGGGUCUGUGCAUUUGUUCCUGUGCUUUUGUUGUGUUUUUGAUUUCUUGCAGUGUGCAGACGUGAAGUGUAGAUGUACUGGCGGAGUGACCUGUAUGGCUGGGGGGGGGUCCCAGGAGUAGGGGUGCCUGUGAUCCAGGAUGCAGAGCCCCAGGGGUCGUAAACUGGUAAUAGAUAUAACAAAUAGAAUAUUUUUGUCUAAAAUCACAUCAUGUAUCUAAUAAAUACAGUAAUUGCAAUCACA